UAAGGAAUAUUGGUCAAUGGAGGCAACUCUGAACCAGCCAUGCCGCGUGGAGGAUGAAGGCCCUCUGGGUUGUAAACUUCUUUUAUAAGGGAAGAAAUGCAGACAUUCUUGUUUGUUUGACGGUACCUUAGGAAUAAGCACCGGCUAACUCCGUGCCAGCAGCCGCGGUAAUACGGAGGGUGCAAGCGUUAUCCGGAUUCACUGGGUUUAAAGGGUGCGUAGGCGGGCAGGUAAGUCAGUGGUGAAAUCUUCGAGCUUAACUCGGAAACUGCCGUUGAUACUAUCUGUCUUGAAUACUCGGGAGGUGAGCGGAAUAUGUCAUGUAGCGGUGAAAUGCUUAGAUAUGACAUAGAACACCAAUUGCGAAGGCAGCUCACUACAGAGU
rnacentral:rRNA from 1 species